CCGUUGCUAGCGGCAGACGCGGAGAGCGCGUGCGCAGGCGCGCUCCCUCCCGGGCGAGCGCCGAAAGCAGCCGAGUGAAGCCGACUGGAGCCGAGUAACUUCAAGAAAGAUCGCAGAGUUCACCCAGAACCCCCAAGCUUCGCCCAUGGCCUGCGGAAGACUAGGCCUCCCUGAAACCGCCCCCCAUCUCCUUCCAAUCAUGUAGGACCAAUUACUGAUUCUGGUUUAUGUUUUUUAAGUUUUUCAUAAAGGACGUUUGCUAUCUUAAAGGACUUCUAAAAACCGUAACUGAUAUCCACACCCCACCACACCACCACCGCCUACUGUCUCAGUGAACUGCUUUUCCUUACAUAGGAAUGCACAGAAGUGGUCUCUGUCAAAGUCUGCCAAGGUUGAAGUACUUCAAAGAGGACAAGGAUCAAUUAUUCCAAAGCUUUCUCACCUGAGAGGAUUCCCCAGAGGAACCCUUCGUCAGCAUUUCUGCCCAAACAACUGUUCCUGCUUGGGCCAGUCUUGUUGAUAAGUAGUCCAGCCUGAUCUUGAUGUCACAGUAAUUAUCCUGCCACAGCCUCUCAAGUAAUGGGAUUACAAGAGUGUGCCACCAUGUCAGUUCGAGCUUAAUAUACAGUUGAAGAUACAAUCAGGUAAAUUCCUGUUUGUUUCCCUGGACAACCAGAGAAAGAAUACAUAUGCUAGAAGAGGAAACACACAAGCAAAGAGUUCUACCAGAGUUUCUAUUUCUAUUCAGACACAGUAAUAUAAGUAUUACUAAACUGGGUGGGGUUAGGAGUAAAGGGAGACAAAGACGUUUAAAAGCAGAAAUGCCCAGGGCUAAGAGCAUGUUGGGACUAAAAACAUGAUCAACACACUAAGAUAUUUAAGAAAUAAAAGUUCUAUUCAUUUCCUUUACCUCUUUGCU